CAUUGUGCUCCUACAUCAGCCGGAACACACUCCAUCUUGUCUGAUUUGGGGAGCCAAGCAGGGUCAGCCUGAUUAAUACCCAACUGGCAGACCACCAGGGAUUACUAGGGAUCUCUACGU
rnacentral:rRNA from 1 species